UGACUGUUUAGUUUAUUUAAAAUAUAGAUUUUGUAAUUCUAAGAUGAAAUUUUCAGCAGCCU
rnacentral:tRNA from 1 species